CCACCGUCGCUCCCAAACGCACGUCGACGGAUGGAGCGCGCCAUUUCCCGGUCCUCGCCGCUCGCGAGCAGCCGACCACCAUCCCUCGGCGUCGGCGGAGAGCAGCCGCCUGGAGGAGCUGACGGCGCGGCCGGGCGUGGGCGCUGCCGCGGGGCGCGAGGGGAGGCCCUGCUCAAGGCCCUCCGCCAGGUCAAGAACGAGUUCAUCGGUAACAAGACCAAGAAGCCCGCCCUCCUCCGCAGCGAACGGCCGCCGGCAUCCUUUUCCAUUCCGAUGAUAAGAACCUAAGUGAAGGCUAUUUUUACAGUGAGGCAGUUAUUGGUAACGUGGUCCGACUUUUAUGAGACUCAUCUACAUCGGUUCAGGUAAGUUUGUCUACAUGGACAAUAAAUUUCACUUGUAUUAGAAGUUAGUCUGGCCUCCCUUAUCUUGCCCCGAUGUUGUCACAAAGAACUAAGCUGUAGGUCGAUAUUGGCAGCUUAAUAAGUUGAUGUUAUCAUCAUUAUAAAUGAUAACAGUUCUUAGUUUAACUAAAUUUUUAGCUACAUGUUUACUUGGUUCAAUAUCAAAGGAUGGUAUCUACAAGUUUAUUUGUUUUCCAUAUCGUGUCGCCAAUUCAUUAUUAUUAUAUAAAAGAGAAGCAAGUGUCAUUUGAUUUUACGGAGGGAUAUAGUCCUACUGGUAUUGUGAUUUAUAAUACUAGUUUCUGCUGGUUUUUUGUUGUCAACAUCUCCAUAAUCUAUUUGUUGUACAUCUAAUAUUUUAUUGUGUACAAAAGUGGAAUAAAAAAGACCUGCAUUUCGUAACCUCUUGAUAAUUGUGAUGUGACUCUGUCAAUAAUGUAUUUCUAGAAGAUAAUGUUUUUUUAAAUGUUGUUGUGAGACAGUUGCAGAAUGCAUCAUCUGUAGGAGUAUAUACUCAGGUGUGUGUUCAAUUGUGCCAUCUUUGUCUACUUUUAUAUAACUUCUGCCAAAUUCUUGCUGUUCUCUACCAUCCCGUUUUUUUUUUCCUACUUUUGACUCGGACAUAUCUUCACGCAUGAUCAUUAGUCAUGCAUCAGUGCUAGUGAAAUAAGAAUGUACUAACUUAUAAGUUGUCUAUAUUACUCUGCCAGCUUGAAGCUAUUACUAGAAACUCGUGGCCAAGUUGCUGGAUAUUACUCCCACCAGCUUGAAGUUAUUACUAGAAACUCAUGGCCAUACCUCGCUGAUGGUUUUUUAGACUAAUGGUGCAUAUAAAUUCAAAUAUUGCAUUGUCCUGGUAUUAAAGUUAAUGAACUUCCUCAGUUUUUCAUGUCUGGCAUUCUAAAUAGAGUUUGCAUCUCAGUAGAUUUGACAUCAGGUUUCAAAGAGUCGGAUUGUAAAAAAGCUUUGGAGAAAAAUAUGGACAAACAAUAAUAUAUAAUUAUGUAUUUAAAAUUUAUCUGAAUCUUUAGCCUUUUUUUGGUAAGUGAUGAUUCUGAUGUCCCAUCAAGAGAAAUUUCACCCAGAAGAUGACAUGCUUUGGCUUUGUUCAGACAUGAUUCAAAUGUAGUUGUUUUCAAGCAGAACUAAUGAUUUAUGAUUUGCUUAAUAUAUAUGCUUUAUGAUAUAAAACUGUCUUUCAGGGAAUGAUUGUGCUCAAUAACAUUACGGCUGGAAGCGAGUCUGGGAAAGAGUGAUGAAUUAUCCUGUUCUGCCCCGAGAAGAUGGUAACAUUCCCUCACUUGCACCUAAGUUCUCGCAUAGUAAGGACGAUUGGCUUCUCUAUGAUGCUUAGUGAACCUAACAUUCCUAGCUAGUGCUGGUUUAUCCAGUAGGGUCGCAAGUUUCCAAGAAGCAGGGAUGAUUUUUCAGCUAAAAUUCAUGCUUAAUGAUCCCUACUCGGACUGCAAGCUUCAUGUGAGAGCCAUUAUCGAGCAGUGCAUCAGUACCUUCUGCUUUUGGUGUUGUACACUUGCUUUUGAAUCCCCUCCAAUUGGAACGCUGUUAAUUGCUUUGCAUUGACAGGUGAAUACACGUUAAAAUAUAUUCUUUCUAGGUUAUCUCCACUGCUUCGAGGAAUCGUUCGAUGCUCCUUGCGGAGAAAAAGCUGGUGGAUUUUCUUUUCUAUUUUUUUUGUUGUUGUUGUGAUACGCUGUCUAUCGUCACUUGAAAUGCAUUCAAUGAUCCCUUGUUUC